UGCAGUCGACGAACUCUUCGGAGUUAGUGGCGGACGGGUGAGUAACACGUGGGAACGUGCCUUUAGGUUCGGAAUAACUCAGGGAAACUUGUGCUAAUACCGAAUGUGCCCUUCGGGGGAAAGAUUUAUCGCCUUUAGAGCGGCCCGCGUCUGAUUAGCUANUUGGUGAGGUAAAGGCUCACCANGGCGACGAUCANUANCUGGUCUGAGAGGAUGAUCAGCCACAUUGGGACUGAGACACGGCCCAAACUCCUACGGGAGGCA
rnacentral:rRNA from 1 species